rnacentral:rRNA from 1 species
UGUGGAUAGGGGUGAAAGGCCAAUCAAACUUCGUGAUAGCUGGUUCUCUCCGAAAUAUAUUUAGGUAUAGCGUUGUGUCGUAAUAUAAGGGGGUAGAGCACUGAAUGGGCUAGGGCAUACACCAAUGUACCAAACCCUAUCAAACUCCGAAUACCUUAUAUGUAAUCACAGCAGUCAGGCGGCGAGUGAUAAAAUCCGUCGUCAAGAGGGAAACAACCCAGACUACCAGCUAAGGUCCCUAAAUCUUACUUAAGUGGAAAACGAUGUGAAGUUACUUAAACAACCAGGAGGUUGGCUUAGAAGCAGCCAUCCUUUAAAGAAAGCGUAAUAGCUCACUGGUCUAGUGAUUUUGCGCGGAAAAUAUAACGGGGCUAAAGUAAGUACCGAAGCUGUAGACUUGCGCACAACUUAGAUUAUUUAAGUUUAGAAUAUGAGAAACUAAGUUAUAUGUUUAGUUAUAUUUUUACUGAUUUUUAUAGAGUAAAGAUAGAAAUAAAACUUAGUAAAAUCAGUAAAAAUAUUCUUAGACUAAAGUUAAGUAGUUUAAGUUGUGUGCAAGUGGUAGGAGAGCGUUCUAUUUGCGUCGAAGGUAUACCGGUAAGGAGUGCUGGAGCGAAUAGAAGUGAGCAUGCAGGCAUGAGUAGCGAUAAUUAAUGUGAGAAUCAUUAACGCCGUAAACCCAAGGUUUCCUACGCGAUGCUCGUCAUCGUAGGGUUAGUCGGGUCCUAAGUCGAGUCCGAAAGGGGUAGACGAUGGCAAAUUGGUUAAUAUUCCAAUACCAACAUUAGUGUGCGAUGGAAGGACGCUUAGGGCUAAGGGGGCUAGCGGAUGGAAGUGCUAGUCUAAGGUCGUAGGAGGUUAUACAGGCAAAUCCGUAUAACAAUACUCCGAGAACUGAAAGGCUUUUUGAAGUCUUCGGAUGGAUAGAAGAACCCCUGAUGCCGUCGAGCCAAGAAAAGUUUCUAAGUUUAGCUAAUGUUGCCCGUACCGUAAACCGACACAGGUGGGUGGGAUGAGUAUUCUAAGGCGCGUGGAAGAACUCUCUUUAAGGAACUCUGCAAAAUAGCACCGUAUCUUCGGUAUAAGGUGUGGUUCGCUUCGUAUUAGGAUUUACUCCGAAAGCGAAGAAACUUACAACAAAGAGUCCCUCCCGACUGUUUACCAAAAACACAGCACUCUGCUAACUCGUAAGAGGAUGUAUAGGGUGUGACGCCUGCCCGGUGCUCGAAGGUUAAUUGAUGGGGUUAGCAUUAGCGAAGCUCUUGAUCGAAGCCCGAGUAAACGGCGGCCGUAACUAUAACGGUCCUAAGGUAGCGAAAUUCCUUGUCGGUUAAAUACCGACCUGCAUGAAUGGCGUAACGAGAUGGGAGCUGUCUCAAAGAGGGAUCCAGUGAAAUUGUAGUGGAGGUGAAAAUUCCUCCUACCCGCGGCAAGACGGAAAGACCCCGUGGACCUUUACUACAGCUUGACACUGCUAUUUGGAUAAGAAUGUGCAGGAUAGGUGGGAGGCUUUGAGUAUAUGACGCCAGUUGUAUAUGAGCCAUUGUUGAGAUACCACUCUUUCUUAUUUGGGUAGCUAACCAGCUUGAGUUAUCCUCAAGUGGGACAAUGUCUGGUGGGUAGUUUGACUGGGGCGGUCGCCUCCCAAAUAAUAACGGAGGCUUACAAAGGUUGGCUCAGAACGGUUGGAAAUCGUUCGUAGAGUAUAAAGGUAUAAGCCAGCUUAACUGCAAGACAUACAAGUCAAGCAGAGACGAAAGUCGGUCUUAGUGAUCCGGUGGUUCUGUGUGGAAGGGCCAUCGCUCAAAGGAUAAAAGGUACCCCGGGGAUAACAGGCUGAUCUCCCCCAAGAGCUCACAUCGACGGGGAGGUUUGGCACCUCGAUGUCGGCUCAUCGCAUCCUGGGGCUGGAGCAGGUCCCAAGGGUAUGGCUGUUCGCCAUUUAAAGCGGUACGCGAGCUGGGUUCAGAACGUCGUGAGACAGUUCGGUCCCUAUCUGCCGUGGGCGUAAGAAGAUUGAAGAGAUUUGACCCUAGUACGAGAGGACCGGGUUGAACAAACCACUGGUGUAGCUGUUGUUCUGCCAAGAGCAUCGCAGCGUAGCUAAGUUUGGAAAGGAUAAACGCUGAAAGCAUCUAAGCGUGAAGCCAACUCUAAGAUGAAUCUUCUCUAAGCUCUCUAGAAGACUACUAGUUUGAUAGGCUGGGUGUGUAAUGGAUGAAAGUCCUUUAGCUGACCAGUACUAAUAGAGCGUUUGGCUUAUCUUUAAUAAAGCAU